rnacentral:lncRNA from 10 species
CUGUCUGUCUCUCUCUCUGUGCCUGUCUCUCUGUCUGUGCCUAUCUUCUGUCUUACUCUCUUUCUCUGCCUGUCUGUCUGUCUCCCAUUCUCUGUCUGUCUCCCUCUCUCUGUCUGUCUCCCUCCCUCCCUGUCUGUCUGCUUCUCUCUGUCUCUGUCUCUCUCUCUUUCUGUUUCUGUCUGUCUCUCUCUCUCCAUCUCUGCUUUCUCUCUCUGUCUCUUUCUCUGUCUGUCUCUCCCUCUGUCUCUCUCUGCCUGUCUCUCUCACUGUAUCUGUCUUCUGUCUUACUCUCUUUCUCUGCCUAUCUGUCUGUCAGUCUCUCUGUCUCUGUCUCUCUCCCUCCCUUUCUGUUUCUCUCUCUCUCUCUUUCUGUUUCUGUCUCUCUCUGUCCGUCUCUUUCUCUCUCUUUCUUUGUCUUUGUCUCUGUCUCUCUCUCUCUCUGCCUGUCUCUCUCACUGUGUCUUCUGUCUUACUCUUUUUCUCUGCCUUUCUGUCUCUCUCCCUCCAUGUCUCUCUCUCUCUCACUCACUCUCCAUCUCUCUCUCUUUCUGUCUGUUUCUCUCUAUCUCUCUCUGUCCGUCUCUGUCUUUCUAUGUCUGUCUCUUUCUGUGUCAGUCUGUCAGACACCUCAUGACGGGGAGGGCUCUGCCCCUUCCACGAAAGUGAGAAGUGCAUGCUUAGGUGCUUAGAGAGGCUGAGAAGAAUCUAGACAGACGGGCCUUGCUGGGCUUCCCCACUCGGUGUAUGAUUUCGGGAGGUCGAGGCCGGGUCCCCACUUGGAUGCAAGGGGCAUUUUCAGACUUUUCUGUCUGUCACGUGUGGCGUCUGUACUUCUCAUAUUUCCCUGAUAAGUUCCUCAACU